rnacentral:misc_RNA from 1 species
GAAAUGCGAUAAGUAGUGUGAAUUGCAGAAUUCAGUGAAUCAUCGAAUCUUUGAACGCACAUUGCGCCCUUUGGUAUUCCAAAGGGCAUGCCUGUUCGAGCGUCGUUUGUACCCUCAAGCUUUGCUUGGUGUUGGGCGUCUUGUCUCUAGCUUUGCUGGAGACUCGCCUUAAAGUAAUUGGCAGCCGGCCUACUGGUUUCGGAGCGCAGCACAAGUCGCACUCUCUAUCAGCAAAGGUCUAGCAUCCAUUAAGCCUUUUUUCAACUUUUGACCUCGGAUCAGGUAGGGAUACCCGCUGAACUUAAGC